CAGAAUCAAAACAAAAACAGACGAAUAUUUACCCACGUGUGUGAUGCAAUUUUUCAAGUUUUAAAGGUUAAAAAUCUAAUAAGUUCUAGACCUUCCGAAAAUGGAGAAUGUUGGAGGACUAUUUGAACACUCUCCGGACGGAGACAGGGUUGCAGUUUCUUUCGGAAACAAAAUAUCUGUUCUCAAUUCCGAAUCAG